rnacentral:antisense_RNA from 1 species
AGCCUUCAUUUGUGUAAAAUACCGAAAGCCCACUCCUUGAACUUUUCCCGAAACAAUUAUCCGUAAUUGUUGCACCAUAACAUUUCCCUCCGAAUUUAAAAAUACGGAUAUA